rnacentral:tRNA from 1 species
GCCGGGGUAGCUCAAUCGGUAGAGCGUGUGGCUCUUAUAGCAAGCAAUUGCAGACGAGAUCACCUCAAGGUCGCGGGUUCGAGCCCCGCCUUCGGCU